AUUACUAUUAUUUUAUUUUAAAUCUUGCUUUGGGGUUAAUAAUAAAUAUAACUAGCAUAGUCUCUGUGGGAUCGAUCCUUACUCGUUCUGUACUAAUUAUUUAUAUUAGUGGUAAGGUUUUAAAUUUGGUGCACCUUAACGACACUACCAAAUCAUAUUAGUCAUAAAAAAGAACCCUUUUUAGCACAAAAUAAAUUCCUUCAAAUUUUGCUAUUUAGGGCUAUGCAUGCCACAAUACAAUAUAAUUAUAGGCGACAAAACUAUUUUACAACUAAAAAUGAAUGUAAAUUUUGUCAGAUCAUCUGUACCACAAAAUAUGUCUGUAUAGCUAUUUGAGUGCUAGCUAGUUUUACUGACUCUUUCUUUUUGCACAAAUUAUUACCUAUUGUGACAAAAUUGAGAAAUAGUAAUCAUAAAGUUUGUUUUAAAUAAUAUUUUACUUUGUCAAAAUCAAUGGAUUAGUAGAUGAAAACUGCACAAGAUCAACCGAUGAUAAUUUAUGUUUAUACUUAAGUUAAAACCGUCUAUCCUUUUAUAUCUUUAUUUGUUAACCAAUAAUUAUAUAAACAAUAGACAAAUGGUGUAUUUGAAAGUGAAGUGCCGUAGUUUUUAAGAUUUUGUGGAAUAAAAGCCAUAGUUGUAGAGUAGACUGAAAAAAAAAAAUUAGUUGUUGAACUGCCAAAACGUAAUUGCAAGGUGUUACCAAAAAACUUAGUAGCUAGGAUCACUCUCAAACGCACCCAAACUUGUCCUCACCAAAUGUUUAAAAGUCGGGAAUCAGAAAUCCAUCUGCAUGUAACUCAUGUUGGGAUCUCAAUUUGUAUUUCAACCACAUGAAUCACUCGUUUAUUGGAUGAUAAAUAUAGUAACUAGUAAAAAUACUAAUAUAUUAUCAAAUAGAUGAAAUCACAUCAAGCAAAGAUACGAAUUGGGAUUCCUGGUGUUAUUCUUAUAUAAAUAAAUU
rnacentral:lncRNA from 1 species